AUGGGAGCGGUGCUAACGCUGGCCCCAGCCCGGCCGCGUGAAAAGGGAGCGCUCACUGCAUCAUGGCCGCCCGGCUUCACCGCGGUCCCCGCCGCCCUCCGCCAGCCCGCGGCCUCCCCUGGGCUAGGGGCUGCCGCAGGGGCCCGUGCCGCCCUCUCUGCGCCGUUAACGCCACUAGCGCCUCUUCAUCGGCAGCGCGGGCGAAGGGGUGAGCGGCGGCGGGGACAGCCGGCUGGCGCGGUGGGGAGACUGCCUUCCGCUCCCCGCCGGCCUCUCCGUCCAGUGCGCAGGCCGCCGCGGCCGCCGCCUCUCCCCGCCGCGCCUUCACCGCUGUGUCGGGGCAAGGAGGAGGCGCCACUCUCCUGGCCCGCUUUGCACGUUGCUGAGAGGGAGUACAGUCUACCGUGGGUGAGGUGGAAGCACGAAGCUGAUACGGAAUCCGGGCACCGUGGUCUUUAGUGACAAGGAGAGUGGUGGUGGCAUUGUGCCACAGAGGAGGGCCAGGUUUUGUCACUCACGUAGGCCGCAGAGUAUCCCCACCGGAUAGCUGGCAGAGUGGGAUGGGCACUGGCUCCCUCACAGGGCUUGUAUCACGCCUAACUUGGUAGUAGCAAGGGGCAGAGUCAGGCUGAUUAAAGGAAAGUAAACAAAAAAUAGGAAGAAGGAGCAGGUGAUGUGGCUGCUGAAAUGAGGAGGGUCCAGGAAUUGGGGAGGGUGCUGUGAUCGGCAUAGCCAAGCCCCUGACAGGAAAAAGGAAGCUGUUUUGGAAGAGCAGUGCCAGUGGAGAGAGGAAGAUGCGUGUUCUUCAGCUUCCUGUGAUACAGCCCGAUAUAGUGGUUGCUGCCUCAGACCUUCGUGAAGAGCUGGAGAAAAUACAUCUCCUGAGCUAAGGCUUUUCCUGCCCACCCCCGUGGACAACCAUUUGAUGAUCAGACACCAAGAGUUCACUCCACGGGCUGGACUCUAAAGAGGCAGCACCUGCAGUUGGUGUGCAAGUUGUAUGAUGGCUAAACCAAUGUGAAUUCCCCAAUCCACUCAAAAACUGGACUGUGUUGCAUUCGCACUUGGGAGGAUGCUGACACUUCCAAGAGAAAGUCCAAAUUCGACCAGCUGAAAAAUAUUUGCAGCUUUCAAACAUUAUUCCAGGAAAAGAGGAAAUCAUCCGCCUGAUCCAUCCUGCCAAAAGACUAUUGGCAUCUCUGUUUCCUGAGAAGCAUAACAGGUUGUUGUUAUAACAGCUAGAGACCAGCUGACCUCCUGCUUCCUUUCAUCAACCAGCUGCAAAACUCUGUCAGGUCAUAAGAACUGAAGUGUCAUCAAGUGCCUUCUGUACUGGGAGAUAACUAGUGUGCUCAAUCCUGUGAUGUUUCCUAUGAAGACUACGUACACUAGCAGAGGAAAUGCUAUUUUUAUCAGCUCUGGCAAAAUAUAGGAUGCAAAUAAACUCGU